UGGGGAAUAUUGCACAAUGGGCGCAAGCCUGAUGCAGCCAUGCCGCGUGUGUGAAGAAGGCCUUAGGGUUGUAAAGCACUUUCAGCGAGGAGGAAGGCAUCAUACUUAAUACGUGUGGUGAUUGACGUUACUCGCAGAAGAAGCACCGGCUAACUCCGUGCCAGCAGCCGCGGUAAUACGGAGGGUGCAAGCGUUAAUCGGAAUUACUGGGCGUAAAGCGCACGCAGGCGGUUUGUUAAGUCAGAUGUGAAAUCCCCGCGCUUAACGUGGGAACUGCAUUUGAAACUGGCAAGCUAGAGUCUUGUAGAGGG
rnacentral:rRNA from 1 species